rnacentral:tRNA from 1 species
GGGGAUAUGGCGAAAUUGGUAGACGCUACGGAAUUAAAAUCCGUCAACUUUAAAAAUCGUGAG